rnacentral:sRNA from 1 species
AGGGCCAACAUGGCCGCCGCCGCCGCUGGGAGCUGAAGUGCCGCCGCCGCCGGGCAGCCGGGGGGAAUCCGCCCGCAUCGCCGCCCUCGCCGGCCGGGCGGCCGUGGGGCCCAGAGCGCCGGAGGCCAGGGCUGGGGCGGCACCGCGCAGCGGCCACGGGGUCCCGUUAGAGCAGCGCCCGGCGGCUAUGCCAAGAGCCCGGAGCGGCCGGAGGAGCAGAGGGGCCGGCGGGAGGGAGGAAGUAGACCUUUCUGCGAGUACGAGCCAACCGGCAGACCCGACUGAAUGCUCGGAUUGGGAAAAUGAAACGGAGGAAGCAAGAUGAAGGGCAGAGGGAAGGCUCCUGCAUGGCUGAGGAUGAUGCUGUGGACAUCGAGCAUGAGAACAACAACCGCUUUGAGGAGUAUGAGUGGUGUGGACAGAAGCGGAUACGGGCCACCACUCUCCUGGAAGGUGGCUUCCGAGGCUCUGGCUUCAUCAUGUGCAGCGGCAAAGAGAACCCGGACAGUGAUGCUGACUUGGAUGUGGAUGGGGAUGACACUCUGGAGUAUGGGAAGCCACAAUACACGGAGGCUGAUGUCAUCCCCUGCACAGGCGAGGAGCCUGGUGAAGCCAAGGAGAGAGAGGCACUCCGGGGCGCAGUCCUAAAUGGCGGCCCUCCCAGCACGCGCAUCACACCUGAGUUCUCUAAAUGGGCCAGUGAUGAGAUGCCAUCCACCAGCAAUGGUGAAAGCAGCAAGCAGGAGGCCAUGCAGAAGACCUGCAAGAACAGUGACAUCGAGAAAAUCACCGAAGAUUCAGCUGUGACCACGUUUGAGGCUCUGAAGGCUCGGGUCAGAGAACUUGAACGGCAGCUAUCUCGUGGGGACCGUUACAAAUGCCUCAUCUGCAUGGACUCGUACUCGAUGCCCCUAACGUCCAUCCAGUGUUGGCACGUGCACUGCGAGGAGUGCUGGCUGCGGACCCUGGUGAGGUGGCAUGGGGGUCGGGGAAUGGGAGGCCGCUCCGGGCACUGCCCAGAUGUCUGUGCUUAUGCCUGAGCCUGCCUGGGGGAAGUGGGGAGCACGGGCCAAAGGAGAACAGAGCCAGGAGCCAGGAUAUUUACCCCCAGGAUAUUUACUCCCAGGCUCGCUGCCUCUCCUCCCCAACUACAGGUUUAGGAACUUCUUCCCCUCCACGAGUUCACUGCAUUCUCCCUUCCCCUCCCCAUGUCCCCCGAAGGCCCACUGCAUCACACAGACUGGUGAGGCCUGGGGUCAGGAGGAGGCUGGCUGUGGGUAAACAGGACCAGGGCCUUGGCCCCUCCCCCUCCCAUUACUAAGCUCCUUCUGCUCCUGCCCCUGUUCUUCGCUCAGGAGCAGCCAUUAAAAUGUCGCCCGGAGACAGCAAUAAAAGGCUCGGACGUGGGCUCUGUGUCCUGAUCAAAGGCCGCGUGUAAUCUCGUUAGGGCUGCGGCUGCCACAGCUGGACCCAGCCUUGUUCUCAUUACCGGGGCUCCUGCUGCGGGGCUGGCCAGGCGGUUUGAUCCUGGCGUUCCCGCAACACAGGAGCGUGCCUGCCUGCUCACAGAAGCUGCCUGUGCAUCCCCAGCCUGGGCUGACAGGACCAAGGUCCCAGCACACACUGGUGCAGAGAGACAUGGCUGCAGGCCCAGGUGCUCACAUGCGCACACGUGGCACAUUGUGUAGACCAGAGCCCUCCCUGUUCUCCCUGCAGGGUGCCAAGAAGCUCUGCCCUCAGUGCAACACGAUCACAGCGCCCGGAGACCUGCGGAGGAUCUACUUGUGAGCUAUCUGCCCCAGGCAGGCCUUGCCUCCAGCAGCCCCACCUGCCCCCAGCCUCUGUGACAGUGACCCUCUCCCUUUGUACAUACUUGCACACAGGUUCCCCAUGUACAUACAUGCACAUACUCACACAUGCGUACACACACACACACACAUUUACACACGCAGGACUCUGGAGCCAGAGUAGAGGCUGUGGCCCAGGCACUACCUGCUGGCUCCCACCUAUGGUUUGGGGGCCAUACCUGUUCCAGCUCUGUUCCCAGGGUGGGGCAGGGAGGUGGGGGUUGGGGGAGUAGUGGGGCACGGCUCCUAAGAUCCAGCCCCCCGACUGACAGACGGGACAGACAGACAUGCAAACACCAGACUGAAGCACAUGUAAUAUAGACCGUGUAUGUUUACAAUGUUGUGUAUAAAUGGGACAACUCCUCGCCCUCUACCUGUCCCCUUCCCCUUUGGUUGUAUGAUUUUCUUCUUUUUUAAGAACCCCUGGAAGCAGUGCCUCCUUCAGGGUUGGCUGGGGGCUCGGCCCAUCCACCUCUUGGGGUACCUGCCUCUCCCUCUCCUGUGGUGUCCCUUCCCCCUCCCAUGUGCUCGGUGUUCAGUGGUGUAUAUUUCUUCUCCCAGACAUGGGGCACACGCCCCAAGGGACGUGAUCCUCUCCUUAGUCUUAGCUCAUGGGGCUCUUUAUAAGGAGUUGGGGGGUAGAGGCAGGAAAUGGGAACCGAGCUGAAGCAGAGGCUGAGUUGGGGGGCUAGAGGACAGUGCUCCUGGCCACCCAGCCUCUGCUGAGAACCAUUCCUGGGAUUAGAGCUGCCUUUCCCAGGGAAAAAGUGUCGUCUCCCCGACCCUCCCGUGGGCCCUAUGGUGUGAUGCUGUGUCUGUAUAUUCUAUACAAAGGUACUUGUCCUUUCCCUUUGUAAACUACAUUUGACAUGGAUUAAACCAGUAUAAACAGUU